UGGGGAAUAUUGGACAAUGGGCGCAAGCCUGAUCCAGCCAUGCCGCGUGAGUGAUGAAGGCCCUAGGGUUGUAAAGCUCUUUCACCGGUGAAGAUAAUGACGGUAACCGGAGAAGAAGCCCCGGCUAACUUCGUGCCAGCAGCCGCGGUAAUACGAAGGGGGCUAGCGUUGUUCGGAUUUACUGGGCGUAAAGCGCACGUAGGCGGACUUUUAAGUCAGGGGUGAAAUCCCGGGGCUCAACCCCGGAACUGCCUUUGAUACUGGAAGUCUUGAGUAUGGUAGAGGUGAGUGGAAUUCCGAGUGUAGAGGUGAAAUUCGUAGAUAUUCGGAGGAACACCAGUGGCGAAGGCGGCUCACUGGACCAUUACCGACGCUGAGGUGCGAAAGCGUGGGGAGCAAACAGG
rnacentral:rRNA from 1 species